UUAUCCUUGUUUUUUUUUUUUUUUGUUUGUGAAAUGUUUACGUCAUUGAGCAUCUUGUAGUGCGACUGAUAAUUUAUUGUGUAUCCAAGAGAAAGUUUUGAUCUGACUGACCUGAGCUUCAAGUCACAUUCUUAAAAAAGUUGAACAACUGUAUGUUUUGUUGACUACUGUUUUGGUAAUCAGUGCCUUGUUUCUCUGUGUCAGUGGAGUUGCUUGAUAUUACCAAGUCCUCCAAGCCAUGACUGGCUUUAGUUGGACUUGCAUGGUUUGAUAUUGAUAAAUAAAUGUUUUGUUGUUUUUUUCCACUCAGAUCUAUUGUUAGUUUCAUUUUGUGAGCACACACAUACUAUAUACAUGUAGAUUCACUAAGUCACAUGACUAGCAGGAAACAAAAAAAAUAAACUCAACAAAUUCUUCUUUAAAAAUAC